AGUGAACGCUGGCGGUAGGCCUAACACAUGCAAGUCGAACGGCAGCACAGUAAGAGCUUGCUCUUACGGGUGGCGAGUGGCGGACGGGUGAGGAAUACAUCGGAAUCUACCUUUUCGUGGGGGAUAACGUAGGGAAACUUACGCUAAUACCGCAUACGACCUACGGGUGAAAGCAGGGGAUCUUCGGACCUUGCGCGAUUGAAUGAGCCGAUGUCGGAUUAGCUAGUUGGCGGGGUAAAGGCCCACCAAGGCGACGAUCCGUAGCUGGUCUGAGAGGAUGAUCAGCCACACUGGAGCUGAGACACGGUCCAGACUCCUACGGGAGGCAGCAGUGGGGAAUAUUGGACAAUGGGCGCAAGCCUGAUCCAGCCAUACCGCGUGGGUGAAGAAGGCCUUCGGGUUGUAAAGCCCUUUUGUUGGGAAAGAAAAGCAGCAGGUUAAUACCCCGCUGUUCUGACGGUACCCAAAGGAUAAGCACCGGCUAACUUCGUG
rnacentral:rRNA from 1 species